rnacentral:rRNA from 1 species
AUUGAACGCUGGCGGCAGGCCUAACACAUGCAAGUCGAGCGGAUGAAGGGAGCUUGCUCCUGGAUUCAGCGGCGGACGGGUGAGUAAUGCCUAGGAAUCUGCCUGGUAGUGGGGGAUAACGUCCGGAAACGGGCGCUAAUACCGCAUACGUCCUGAGGGAGAAAGUGGGGGAUCUUCGGACCUCACGCUAUCAGAUGAGCCUAGGUCGGAUUAGCUAGUUGGUGGGGUAAAGGCCUACCAAGGCGACGAUCCGUAACUGGUCUGAGAGGAUGAUCAGUCACACUGGAACUGAGACACGGUCCAGACUCCUACGGGAGGCAGCAGUGGGGAAUAUUGGACAAUGGGCGAAAGCCUGAUCCAGCCAUGCCGCGUGUGUGAAGAAGGUCUUCGGAUUGUAAAGCACUUUAAGUUGGGAGGAAGGGCAGUAAGUUAAUACCUUGCUGUUUGGACGUGACCAACAGAAUAAGCACCGGCGAACUUCGU